GUGUCAGCAGCCGCGGUAAUACGGAGGGGGCUAGCGUUGUUCGGAAUUACUGGGCGUAAAGCGCGCGUAGGCGGAUUGCUAAGUCGGGGGUGAAAUCCCAAGGCUCAACCUUGGAAUUGCCUCCGAUACUGGCUGUCUCGAGUCCGGAAGAGGUGAGUGGAAUUCCGAGUGUAGAGGUGAAAUUCGUAGAUAUUCGGAGGAACACCAGAGGCGAAGGCGGCUCACUGGUCCGGAACUGACGCUGAGGCGCGAAAGCGUGGGGAGCAAACAGGAUUAGAUACCCUGGUAGUCCACGCCGUAAACGAUGGAUGCUAGCCGUUGGCGAGCUUGCUCGUCAGUGGCGCAGCUAACGCAUUAAGCAUCCCGCCUGGGGAGUACGGUCGCAAGACUAAAACUUAAAUGAAUUGACGGGG
rnacentral:rRNA from 1 species